CAGCAGCCGCGGUAAUACGGAGGAUCCAAGCGUUAUCCGGAAUCAUUGGGGUUAAAGGGUCCGUAGGCGGUCUUGUAAGUCAGUGGUGAAAGCCCAUCGCUCAACGGUGGAACGGCCAUUGAUACUGCAGGACUUGAAUUAUUGGGAAGUAACUAGAAUAUGUAGUGUAGCGGUGAAAUGCUUAGAGAUUACAUGGAAUACCAAUUGCGAAGGCAGGUUACUACCAAUUGAUUGACGCUGAUGGACGAAAGCGUGGGUAGCGAACAGGAUUAGAUACCCGCGUAGUCCCUGUCUCUUAUAC
rnacentral:rRNA from 1 species